rnacentral:rRNA from 1 species
CACUUCUAUGGAAGGCAGCAGGCGCGCAAAUUACCCAAUCCUGACUCAGGGAGGUAGUGACAAGAAAUAACAAUAAACCGGCUUAUGCCGGUUUAAUUGGAAUGAGUACAAUUUAAACAUCUUAACGAGGAACAAUUGGAGGGCAAGUCUGGUGCCAGCAGCCGCGGUAAUUCCAGCUCCAAUAGCGUAUACUAAAGUUGUUGCAGUUAAAAAGCUCGUAGUUGGAUUUCUGUGGGGACGGAGCGGCCGGCCGCACAUCGCGGUUCGAGCUAGCGCUUUCCCUACAUCCUGCCGCGAACCGUGCUACCAUUAGUUUGGUGGCGCCGGGGAUCGACUCGAUUACUUUGAGAAAAAUAGAGUGUUCAAAGCAGGCCACAUGCCUUGAAUAAGUUAGCAUGGAAUAGUAACUAAGGGCUUCGGUUCUAUUUUGUUGGUGUUCGGGACUGAAGUAAUGAUUGAUAGGGACAGUUGGGGCGGUCUGUAUUCCAAAGCGAGAGGUGAAAUUCUUAGACCUUCGGAAGACAAACAGCUGCGAAAGCGUUCCGCAAGGAUGUUCCCUUUGAUCAAGAACGAAAGUUGGGGGAUCGAAGACGAUCAGAUACCGUCGUAGUCUCAACUAUAAACUAUACCAGCUAGGGAUCGGCCAACGUUAUUUCAUACCGACUUGGUCGGCACCUUAUGAGAAAUCAAAGCAUCUGGGUUCCGGGGGGAGUAUGGUCGCAAGGCUGAAACUUAAAGGAAUUGACGGAAGGGCACCACCAGCCGUGGAGCCUGUGGCUUAAUUUGACUCAACACGGGAAAACUUACCAGGUCCAGACAUAGUAAGGAUUGACAGAUUGAUAGCUCUUUCUUGAUUCUGUGGGUGGUGGUGCAUGGCCGUUCUUAGUUGGUGGAGUGAUUUGUCUGGUUAAUUCCGUUAACGAACGAGACCCCAGCCUGCUAAAUAGCGCGAGUGAGCUUUGCUCGCUGCGAGCUUCUUAGAGGGACUCUGAUGCGCGAUAGCACAUGGAAGUUUGGGGCAAUAACAGGUCUGUGAUGCCCUUAGAUGUUCUGGGCCGCACACGGGCUACACUGGCGCCUGCAACGAGCAUAUCAGCUGGCCCGAGAGGGUCUUGGCUAAUCUUUUGAACCGGCGCCGUGCUUGGGAUUGACCUUUGCAAUUGUUGGUCAUGCAACGAGGAAUGCCUUGUAAACGCGAGUCAUCAGCUCGCAUUGAAUACGUCCCUGCCCUUUGUACACACCGCCCGUCGCUCCUACCGAUGAAUGUUCCGAUGAAAUUUUCGGAGAGCACCUGUGAACUUGGCUCUGCCUUGCGAACGGGAGGCUCAAAGUCACUUAAAUCUGAACAUUUC